UCUGCCAGCUCUGUUCGGGCACACGGCGGCGGGACGUGGCAAGGGUGGGAGGAGGAGAGCAACGGCGUGGUGGCGCGGGUGCGGUGCGGUGCGGUGCCUUUCCCUUCGAAGGUCUCGAGCGCGUGCGUUGGUUUUGGGCUUAAGGGGAAGGGGAAGGGGAGAGCGCGCGGGCGGGAGGGAGGUAGCAGUCUAGAUAGGUAGGCAUUCGUGGGGUGGACGAAAGGUGGGCUAGGCGCGCUGGGAGGGCGGCGGCAGCGGCCGGGAAGUAGACUGAGGGGGGAGGGGAGAGGCGGAGGAGCGGCGACGUCCACUAAGGCAGCCGCCGCCCGGUGUACCGCAGGUGCCGACGCCGCCGCGAGCGCCAGUGCCUGCUCGACCGGGACGGCGAGGCGCGCCACCCCCUGGACCGCCGCCGGCGGCCCCAGAGCGCCCUCCUCCAGCAGCAGUAGUGCGUCACGCGGAGCGAGCCACCCUUCAACGGAAAACUACUACGUAGCCACCCACGACAAGAUAGACAGUAUUUUUUACACCUCUCGAAACCCCUAUUCAACCAACGACUUUAAUCGGCUCACGACUUUCGACCACCUUAACACGACCAUGUCUCGAAGUGUGGGAGACGACUAGUCUUCGGUUUGUUAAUAUAGCUCGCGGUCGAUGAGUACCCACCAAAACAACUUCACGUUCGAAGACGGUGUUCGAGCGUCCUAUCACACGUUAGACAAUGAUAGUUCCGUUUCUUCGGGAGGACCUCAUACCCAAGAAGGAAGGGGGACUUCUUUCGUCAUUUCCGAGAAGGUUUCUAACUUUAACUGCUACUACUACUUGACUAACUGCUUCUGUCGGAGAACUGACUCCUCCUGAACUUCUUCGGUGUCGAAGGUCAACAUCCUCUAACACUCCACCCUCGAUGUUUCUUCCGCACGUUCUUGACGUCAACACCGUCCCGGCUCCGACUCGUCUUCCACCUCUUCGACCCCGAGUGACGUCUUGUCUAACUAUUGGGACAGAGUCGAACACCGUCAACACCCAACCCGCUACGCAAGGCUACGUCGUGGACGGGUAUGUCUCCGGACCGCGGCAAGUUCAACCCGCUCUUCCAAUGGAACAGACUGUUGAAGGAGAGUCGGCUGUAUACUACUACCUGUCGUCGACGCCUAUACUUUACGCGGAACAAGCUAAACAACCAAGCAAUCCUUCUAUAUAGACGCAUAAAAAGCACCACUACCACCAAUGUCGUUUUCUUCUCACGCAAACCUCAUCGUCGAGCACAAUCGUACAGCACGCACAGGAACGAGAGGGUGGAUCCGACUUCGCUCUUAACCUAGCACACACGCGGAGACAUAAGCCGUUCUUCUAAUGUACGUACAUUAAACUGCUUCUUUGUAUACUACCUUUCUGAAACCAGACGAUGUACAAGAACAAAACGAGGGUUUAUUAAAUGGACUGAUAUAUAUAACCAUACACCAAAUAUAACCUU
rnacentral:rRNA from 1 species